GACGAACGCUGGCGGCGUGCCUAAUACAUGCAAGUCGAACGCAGUGGGGACGGGUGAGUAACACGUGGGUAACCUCCCAUCAGAGGGGAGAACACUUGGAAACAGGUGCUAAACCGAUACUGAUUUAUGGAGCCGCGGGGCAUUAGCUAGUUGGUGGGGUAAAGGCUCACCAAGGCCACGAUGGAUAGCCGGCCUGAGAGGGGGAUCGGCCACACUGGGACUGAGACACGGCCCAGACUCCUACGGGAGGCAGCAGUAGGGAAUCUUCGGCAAUGGGCGAAAGUCUGACCCAGCAACGCCGCGUGAGUGAAGAAGGUUUUCGGAUCGUAAAUCACUGUUGUUAGAGAAGCGGUAUCUAACCAGAAAGCCACGGCUAACUACGUGCCAGCAGCCGCGGUAAUUC
rnacentral:rRNA from 1 species